GAGCUGGUCCCUUUCCUCACCUGCUGUCUGUGCUGAUUGAAUUUUUUCUACUGUUCCCAGACUCCCAGGACUUGGCCUAGUGUUGGAAAACCUCCAGGAAUUUGGCUGAUACGGUGACUUUAGAGACCUGUGUCAAGUGGUUUAAGAACACCAUGGAGAAAGCAAACCCUUUUUCAAGGGGCUGCUGAGAUCUGGGGUUCUCCAGCAGAGCCACAACCAGCCUGGGCAACCCAACAAAGCUGGUGUCCAAUUCAGUUCCACCUCUAGAGUGAAGGCUGGCCACAUGGCAGACUAUGCUGGCUCAUCCAAGCUCAGGAUGCUCUGAAUCACCUUGGACGGGCCGUGGCAUAGACUGGACUCUUGGAAAGAGCUCUGUUUUUUAACCCAUUGAAACAGCUGCAACACACGACAUCAUUCAGAUCACCAAGGCUGCAUGAAAAAUGAGGGGACUGGGGGAGCACCGGUCUUCUGGCUGGCUCACUUCCUGCCUCGUAGGACCCCGGAGGGAGGGCCCCUGAAGCACGGGGAGCCACACGGCUGAGAGCGCUGUUGCGACCUGGGCCUCAGGCCGGCUGCCGCCACUCAAUUGAGAACUACCACGACACAGAGAAACAAUGACACAAUUGGCUUACCAUGCACUGGCUGCAGAU